rnacentral:lncRNA from 1 species
GGGGAGCCCAUGACUAUUUUUGGACCCCAGGGCUAUAAAGGCAGUAAAGGAGAUCCUGGUGAACAGGGUCUGCCAGGUUUUGAUGGAGACAAAGGCGAAAAGGGAGAGGAUGGGCCUGUAGGAGAAAAGGGAGUCAAAGGUGAAGCUGGCUCCAAGGGAGCGAUGGGGCUUUUUGGAACAAGAGGACCGGUGGGGCAGAAGGUG